rnacentral:rRNA from 1 species
AUUGAACGCUGGCGGCAUGCCUUACACAUGCAAGUCGAACGGCAGCACGGGAGCAAUCCUGGUGGCGAGUGGCGAACGGGUGAGUAAUAUAUCGGAACGUGCCCAGUCGUGGGGAUAACGUAGCGAAAGCUACGCUAAUACCGCAUACGAUCUAUGGAUGAAAGCGGGGGAUCGCAAGACCUCGCGCGAUUGGAGCGGCCGAUAUCAGAUUAGGUAGUUGGUGAGGUAAAGGCUCACCAAGCCGACGAUCUGUAGCUGGUCUGAGAGGACGACCAGCCACACUGGGACUGAGACACGGCCCAGACUCCUACGGGAGGCAG